AACGAACGCUGGCGGCGCGCCUAACACAUGCAAGUCGAACGCAUGCUUGAUCUUCGGGUUGGGCAUGAGUGGCGGACGGGUGAGUAACGCGUGGGAACCUGCCCUGAGGUUCGGGACAACCGUGGGAAACUGCGGCUAAUACCGGAUAUCUCCUUUGGGAGAAAGACUUGUCGCCUUGGGAGGGGCCCGCGUCGGAUUAGCUUGUUGGUGGGGUAACGGGCCUACCAAGGCAUCGAUCCGUAGCUGGUCUGAGAGGAUGAUCAGCCACACUGGGACUGAGACACGGCCCAGACUCCUACGAGAGGCAGCAGUGGGGGAAUCUUGGACAAUGGGGGCGAACCCUCGAUCCACGCGACGCCGCGUGGGUGGACGAAGG
rnacentral:rRNA from 1 species